CGGCAAAAGCUCAAAUUUGAAAUCUGGCACCUUCGGUCCUCCGAGUUGUAAUUUGAAGAUUGUAACCUUGGGGUUGGCUCUUGUCUAUGUUUCUUGGAACAGGACGUCACAGAGGGUGAGAAUCCCGUGCGAUGAGAUGCCCAAUCCUAUGUAAGGUGCUUUCGAAGAGUCGAGUUGUUUGGGAAUGCAGCUCUAAGUGGGUGGUAAAUUCCAUCUAAAGCUAAAUAUUGGCGAGAGACCGAUAGCGAACAAGUACAGUGAUGGAAAGAUGAAAAGAACUUUGAAAAGAGAGUGAAAAAGUACGUGAAAUUGUUGAAAGGGAAGGGUUUGAGAUCAGACUCGAUAUUUUGUGAGCCUUGCCUUCGUGGCGGGGUGACCCGCAGCUUAUCGGGCCAGCAUCGGUUUGGGCGGUAGGAUAAUGGCGUAGGAAUGUGACUUUGCUUCGGUGAAGUGUUAUAGCCUGCGUUGAUGCUGCCUGCCUAGACCGAGGACUGCGAUUUUAUCAAGGAUGCUGGCAUAAUGAUCCCAAACCGCCCGUCUUGAAACACGGACCAAGGAGUCUAACGUCUAUGCGAGUGUUUGGGUGUUAAACCCGUACGCGUAAUGAAAGUGAACGUAGGUGAGGGCUCUUUUGAGUGCAUCAUCGACCGAUCCUGAUGUCUUCGGAUGGAUUUGAGUAAGAGCAUAGCUGUUGGGACCCGAAAGAUGGUGAACUAUACCUGAAUAGGGUGAAGCCAGAGGAAACUCUGGUGGAGGCUCGUAGC
rnacentral:rRNA from 1 species